rnacentral:rRNA from 1 species
UACGUAGGGUGCAAGCGUUUAAUCGGAAUUACUGGGCGUAAAGCGUGCGCAGGCGGUUUUGUAAGUUUUGUCGUGAAAUCCCCGGGCUCAACCUGGGAAUGGCGAUGAAGACUGCAAGGCUAGAAUCUGGCAGAGGGGGGGUAGAAUUCCACGUGUAGCAGUGAAAUGCGUAGAGAUGUGGAGGAACACCGAUGGCGAAGGCAGCCCCCUGGGUCAAGAUUGACGCUCAUGCACGAA